rnacentral:rRNA from 1 species
AUGAACGCUAGCGGCAGGCUUAACACAUGCAAGUCGAGGGGCAGCAUGACGAAACCUUCGGGUUUGUUGAUGGCGACCGGCGCAAGGGUGCGUAACGCGUGAGCAACUUGCCCUUAUCAGGGGGAUAACCGGUGGAAACGCCGACUAAUACCCCAUAGUAUUGGCUUUAGGCAUCUUUAGUCAAUUAAAGAAUUUCGGAUAAGGAUAGGCUCGCGUGACAUUAGCUAGAUGGCGGGGUAACGGCCCACCAUGGCUACGAUGUCUAGGGGUUCUGAGAGGAAGGUCCCCCACACUGGAACUGAGACACGGUCCAGACUCCUACGGGAGGCAGCAGUGAGGAAUAUUGGUCAAUGGUCAGACGACUGAACCAGCCAUGCCGCGUGAAGGUGACGGCCCUAUGGGUCUUAAACUUCUUUUGCAAGGGAGCAAUAAGAGCUACGUGUAGCUUGAUGAGAGUACCUUGCGAAUAAGCAUCGGCUAACUCCGUG